rnacentral:lncRNA from 15 species
UCCAAGAGACAGGUGGACAAUCCUUCCUACCUGGUUCAAGUGACAGUAAGUUUUCUUUUCAAUAUCUAUUUAUUUUCUGAGUGAUUCAGCAACUUUAUUUAGGGAAAAAGUUUGAUUCAUAACCAGGAAGAGCUUCCGAGAGACAGAGCCUGUAUUUAAUUAGACACCUUUUUUUUCAGAUGACCUGCUGCCAGCUUUGGCAUUUGAAUCAGUGGCAGCGACAGUCCACACCAGCUAAAAAUGAGGCGAUACUAGCUGAGUGUUUUGUGAAAUACUACACUUGUGAGAGAGCCAACAUGUAAGAGAAUUAUUGUAGGGUCACAUUUGUGCAUUUUGCUCACUUGCACCCAAGUAAUCUUUUUACACAUAUAGUGGAAGCAAAAUUCUGGCACUGUUGGAAGUCAUAAAGUAGAGCAGCACUGCAUAACUAGCAGGCUAAUGGUGAACAAAACACAGUAGAGUAUGCUAAAGAGAGGAUCUGCAUUUGAACGCUUUCAUUUCAGCCAGUUCCGAUCCUUUAAAAUCUGACCGCAUUAGCCGACACUGAUACCUCGGGACAUCUCUACUUCAAACACAUUGGAAUAAAUUAGGAAGAUUCCUUGAACAACUAAACAAUCUGGCAGUUGGUGUUAUAAAAAUAAGUACAGAGGGAUAGGUUCAAGAUUUAUUUGCCUUGUGGGUAAUUUUUUUAAGAAAUGUCAUUGUAUGGUAAAUCUUUAUGAAUGAAGAAAGCCUGAUACAAAAUGUUUCUAGUCAGAUGUUAAAUGAAUCACUCAUGCAACGUGUUUUCUUUCCUUUCUCCUCAGAGAAGCACACUGUGAAUGAACAUCUGUCUGCACUGAUGCAGAAUGCAACAAUCACAACGGAUAGAGAGAGGCUUUGGUAUGUGCUGGGAAGGUUGAAACAGGAAGAAUUCAAAGAAUUCAAGUGGUUCCUGCAGGACAGGGACAUCCUGGCAGGCCUCCCAUGCAUCCAAAGCUGUCGGCUGGAGAAGGGAGAACUGUUAGACCUGGUGGAUCUGAUCUGGCAGACCUACAGCGAACACUCGGUGGAGGUGACCAAGAAGGUUUUCAAGAAAAUAAACAGGAAUGAUCUGGUGCAGAUGUUGUCAGGAUCCAAAGGUAAGCCUCAUCUGCCAAUGGCAGGUAAACUAAGACAAUUCAGCAGCCAAAAAUAUGUUUUACUGGUCAUUUACCGACAGCAUGUGAAAAAAAAUAAGGAAACAGAAAUGACUGUCUUCCUAAAAGUCAUCUCUUUCACCGACAGAUGA